GGUCAGGUCCUGCGCAACGGGAUGUUGCCAAACCCCGCCAGGCCCGGAAGGGAGCAACGGUAGGCAAAUUAUUCCGUGUGACGCAGGGUCGCCUGCCCAUC
rnacentral:SRP_RNA from 1 species